CAACCAUCUCCCACAGCUGAAAUAUUCUCCCACUGUGGUCUAGGGAGUACGGGGUAGGGAUACACCCGUAAAUCUCUCGCUGUCCCUGAUUCUCUCUCUCCCUGGGUAUGGAUAUUUAGACACCAAACUGCGCUGAUUUAGAGCCCCCGGCUGAGAAGGCAGCUGUGAAGAACAAGUAACUGGUGAGCACGGCAGGAGCCCUCUACUCUAAUGCUGCUCAAAGGUAAAAAACUGGUUGGAUGGUUGGGCCAAGAGAGUGGUGGUGAAUGGAAUAUCAGCAAUAGUGUGGCCAUCAGGACCGGGGCUGUUACCAUCCCCUUGUACUCGAUAUGCUGAGCAUUGUUUCAAAGCUGAUAAAACAAGAUCUGCUUCAACAGAAGA